AUAUCCUUUAGAAAUAUGGAACAUUCUGGGAGGCCGAGCUCUACAAGUGUAUAUAGACUUCCAAAGAAUAUUUAAAUCCUUUAACAAAAAUGCCACCUAAGAAAAUAUGAAAUACUUCAGUCUGUCUGUCAGUGCUCACUUCCUGUCUAGAAACUUUCAGGCUCCGGCACAAAUGAACCAUGUUCUUCGCCUAAGUCAUUUAUGGAACAUCUGCUUUCGGUUUAGCAUCAGGCUUUCUUCUCGAGUUGGCUACAUGGUGACUAGUGUCUUCAUGUUUACAGUCAAUCACGGAAGCCAGGAAGUUGAAUUAUCUUGAUUAAAUGGGCAGAGGACACAUGCACUACUGAAAUAAUAGAUUGAGGAAAAGUGACACCAAAACCACAUGUACUGAAAUUCGGGAAGUAAUAGUUUACCUGAAGGAAAUCAGAGUGCUGAUACCUUAAACAGUGUUAUGUUAUUCAAAUUCUGAUCGUUUUGUUGUGUUCCAAAUGUUCUGUGUAUGCAUUUCUUAAAUUACAAUUAAAAUGAAAAAGAC
rnacentral:lncRNA from 10 species